GUGUAGCUCAGUGGUAGAGCACUAGCCUAGCAUGUGCAAGGCCCUGGGUUCAAUUCCUAGCAC
rnacentral:tRNA from 1 species